rnacentral:rRNA from 1 species
UACGUAGGGGGCUAGCGUUGUCCGGAAUCAUUGGGCGUAAAGAGCGUGUAGGCGGUCCGGUAAGUCCGCUGUGAAAGUCGGGGGCUCAACCCUCGAAUGCCGGUGGAUACUGUCGGGCUAGAGUGCGGAAGAGGCGAGUGGAAUUCCUGGUGUAGCGGUGAAAUGCGCAGAUAUCAGGAGGAACACCUAUUGCGAAGGCAGCUCGCUGGGACGGUACUGACGCUGAGGUGCGAAAGCGUGGGGAGCGAACGGG